rnacentral:rRNA from 1 species
AUACGUAGGGGGCGAGCGUUGUCCGGAUUUACUGGGCGUAAAGGGUGAGUAGGCGGUUACAUAUGUCAGAUGUAAAAGGCACAGGCUUAACUUGUGUUAGCAUUUGAAACUGUGUGACUUGAGUGCAGGAGAGGUAAGUGGAAUUCCUAGUGUAGCGGUGAAAUGCGUAGAUAUUAGGAGGAACACCAGUGGCGAAGGCGACUUACUGGACUGUAACUGACGCUGAGUCACGAAAGCGUGGGUAGC